CGUGUAGAGCCUGUUUCCCGCGGACCUGAGGCGGAAGAAAACCACUCCAGCUCUAUGUUAGGAAUGGUGACAGAUAAAAGACCUCCUAUCCACCGAGGUCCAAAGGAACGUCCCGAGAAUGUACGUAUAACAAGCGCUCUUGAGCAAUUUUUAGCAACCGUCAAUCUCGAAAUACUGAGCCUAAGGGAGAAGACAAUGGCACCCCACUCCAGUACUCUUGCCUGGAAAAUCCCAUGGACGGAGGAGCCUGGUGGGCUGCAGUCCUCGGGGUCUCGAAGAGUUGGACACGACUGAGCGACUUCACUUUCCCUUUUCACUUUCAUGCAUUGGAGAAGGAAAUAGCAACCCACACCAGUGUUCUUGCCUGGAGAAUCCCAGGGACAGGGAAGCCUGGUGGGCUCCCGUCUAUGGG
ensembl:lncRNA